rnacentral:rRNA from 1 species
AGAGUUUGAUCAUGGCUCAGAACGAACGCUGGCGGCAGGCUUAACACAUGCAAGUCGAACGCGUGUAGCAAUACACGAGUGGCGCACGGGUGAGUAACGCGUGGAUAUCUGCCUUUUGGUUCGGAAUAACCCUGGGAAACUGGGGCUAAUACCGGAUGGUUCCUUCGGGAUAAAGAUUUAUCGCCAAAAGAUGAGUCCGCGUACGAUUAGCUAGUUGGUGAGGUAAUGGCUCACCAAGGCGACGAUCGUUAGCUGGUCUGAGAGGACGAUCAGCCACACUGGGACUGAGACACGGUCCAGACUCCUACGGGAGGCAGCAGUGGGGAAUAUUGGACAAUGGGGGCAACCCUGAUCCAGCCAUGCCGCGUGAGUGAUGAAGGCCUUCGGGUUGUAAAGCUCUUUUGGCGGGGACGAUGAUGACGGUACCCGCAGAAUAAGCCCCGGCUAACUUCGUGCCAGCAGCCGCGGUAAGACGAAGGGGGCUAGCGUUGUUCGGAAUUACUGGGCGUAAAGCGAGUGUAGGUGGUUGUCAUAGUCAGGUGUGAAAGCCUUGAGCUCAACUCAAGAAAUGCACUUGAUACUGGGCGACUAGAGGACCGGAGAGGAUAGUGGAAUUCCCAGUGUAGUGGUGAAAUACGUAGAGAUUGGGAAGAACACCAGUGGCGAAGGCGGCUAUCUGGACGGUUACUGACACUAAGACUCGAAAGCGUGGGGAGCAAACAGGAUUAGAUACCCCGGUAGUCC